UUGGCUUGGCCAAAAGGUCCAUUUGGGUUUUUCCAUAAAAUCUUGCAGAAAAACCUGAAUGAACUUUUUGGCCAACCCAA
rnacentral:miRNA from 1 species